AAGUCGUAACAAGGUUUCCGUAGGUGAACCUGCGGAAGGAUCAUUACCGAGCAGAGGGCGCUCCGACGCGCCCGACCUCCCAACCCUCUGUCCGAACCGUACACCUCUGUUGCCUCGGGGCGACCCGCCGCCUCAGCGCGGGGCCCCAGGCGGACCACACAACCGAAACCCUGCAUCUCAUGCGUCGGAGUGAACAUAUGCGAAAUCAAUCAAAACUUUCAACAACGGAUCUCUUGGUUCUGGCAUCGAUGAAGAACGCAGCGAAAUGCGAUAAGUAAUGUGAAUUGCAGAAUUCAGUGAAUCAUCGAAUCUUUGAACGCACAUUGCGCCCCCUGGCAUUCCGGGGGGCAUGCCCUGUUCGAGCGUCAUUACACCACUCAAGCCUGGCUUGCGUAUUGGGCGUACGGGAUGCACCCGCGCCUCUAAUGUUCAUGUUCCGGCUGGACGGACCGUAAUCCUCAGCGUUGUGGCACACAAGCUCGCUGCGGGGCGGCCCGGCCGCGCCGUCAAAACACCCACUCAAGGUUGACCUCGGAUCGGGUAGGGAUACCCGCUGAACUUAA
rnacentral:rRNA from 1 species